UAUAUUAUCUUAUUUCAAGAUUCAAUUACAUAUAAUUUAAAUUAAUACAAAUUUUUUACUGUCAUUUACUGAUAAUUGAAGUUUAGUAAUUAUAUCAUAACUUUGCAAUAAUUAAUGCAAAUAUUUCAAAGAUAAAGCAAUUUAAGAUUUUUGAUAACUGUAUGACAUAAUAACACGGAAAAGAUAAUUACAAUUUUUCGAUUCAAAAUGUUUUUAAAUUCAUUUUUUAUAUAUUGAAUAAAUUUCACAAAUAAUAUAGUCUGAUCCCACUACUAUCUGUCGUGCGCACCAUGAUAUUGCGCGUUACCAACGCACACACAUCGGAGACAAAUGUAGCCUCCAAUUGGCGUGGCUUCUACGGGACAAAAACGGAGAACGUGGAAGCAACAGGCAGGCAAUUUUGCCAGACGGAGGGAUUUAUUAUUUUUUCACAUUUAAACUAUUUAUUUCUUACCUUCUAAAUCUAUUUAUUCUUAAAAUUUGUUAUAUAUUAUGUUCAAGUAUCUAAUGAACUUGUCAAAAUUUUUAAUCAAUGAACAUUUGACAAGAAAAAUAGGUCAAUUUAUGAAGUUAACGUAACGUAAGAAUAUCACCUCCAACUCUGGCAAACAAAAUGGACAGGUAGAGAGCCCGAGUAUGCACACGCAGCUGACUUUCUCACACAACAGCCGCAAACUGCACUCCGCCUGGAUGAAAUUAUCAGAUCGCCUCCGAGUGUCAAAUGUCUCUUCUUUUUCUUUCUUUCUCUUCCUCUCUCUCCUGCCUUUUUUCAUAUUUGCACACACAUACGCGCAUUCUCUCUAUUUCUUUCUUUCCCUUUCUCUCCUACCGCCUAGCAAGAGCUACCGAGCUACACGAGCUUACCAUUUCAAACCGAAGUUCCCCUUCUCCUUCCGUCUUUAUAUUCGCAUCCAAAAAAUUCUCUCCGACAUGAUCGGCUAGGUUGUUGCUGUUUGUAAUGGUGCUCGCAACUACCAAAGAAUUAGGAUUGGGACGGAUAAUCACUUACCUUGUUGCUCUUGAUUUAAUUCCGUACUGCCGGCAUGAGAUGGUCCUGGCAUUCCACCCUCUAAUGGUCCACUACCCCCGCCACCGCC